rnacentral:rRNA from 1 species
UAUCUCUGUAGAGUCUGCAUAUCAAUAAGCGGAGGAAAAGAAACUAACUAGGAUUCCCUUCAGUAACGGCGAGUGAAGCGGGAGGAGCUCAAAUUUGAAAUCUUCAAGGUUUUACCUUGACGAAUUGUAGUUUAAAGAAGUGUUUUCUGUUGGAGUUUCGGUAAAAGUUCUUUGGAAUAGGACAUCAUAGAGGGUGAGAAUCCCGUAUUUGACCAUUAUUUUCAGCUUUGUGAUACACUUUCAAAGAGUCGGAUUGUUUGGGAAUGCAGUCCAAAAUGGGUGGUAAAUUUCAUCUAAAGCUAAAUAUUGGCGAGAGACCGAUAGCGAACAAGUACCGUGAGGGAAAGAUGAGAAGAACUUUGAAAAGAGAGUUAAACAGUACGUGAAAUUGUCAAAAGGGAAGCGUUUGACGACCAGUGUUGUUUUCUCGAAAAUCAAUUAAAAAAGGCAGGAUUUUGUGUUGUAUUGACUUUAUCAGCUUUCUGCACUCUUUUCUUGUCUUUUUUUAAUGCACUUUUCGUUUAACAAGUCAACAUCAAUUUCUUUUGUUGUAAAAGGGUCAUUGGAAGGUGGCUUUCUUUUCGGAGAAAGUGUUUAUAGCCUUUGGCCUCUGCAAUCGGAGAGAUUGAGGUCUGCAGCGUAGAUCCUUCGGGGUUAGAUACAUUUGUGCUAAGUUAUAGCCUUUCAUAGACAACUUGUUGACUAUGAUCAGUCAUGUAGCUUACUCGCUUAUGCUAUUUUACCUACGCUUAGGAUGUUGAAGAUGUAGCACAUCAU